GCCGAAGUGGUGGAAUUGGUAGACACGCCAUCUUGAGGGGGUGGUGGGUAAUCCCCGUGGGGGUUCAAAUCCCCCCUUCGGCA
rfam:Deltaproteobacteria bacterium RBG_19FT_COMBO_46_12 rbg_19ft_combo_scaffold_1659, whole genome shotgun sequence.